rnacentral:rRNA from 1 species
UUUGACCCGGUAUGAAUGGUGUCACGAGGGUCUCACUGUCUUAAGGAAAUUUCCAGUGAAAUUGAAUUUGUAGUGAAGAUGCUACAUCCAAAUUGUUAGACAAGAAGUCCCCAUGGAACUUUACUGGAAACUUAUGUGGCUUAAAUUAAUUUAAUUCUUACAAAUAAAUAGUUUUUAAAUGUGGUGUUAACCUCUCGGGUUAGAAAAGCUCACUCUUUUAUUUUAAGAAAGCCAACUCAAAACUUUAUGUCUUUGGGAUUUGAUAAGUGGGACAGUUUGGUUGGGGCGACCGCCUUUAAAAAAGUAACGAAGGCGGGCUUAAGAUAUAUUUUUAGUUAUGUCUGACUGCCAGGGGGAAUCCUGAGCAGCACUACUUUUUAGGUGGUUAAGUACCCGUAUUUAGGUGAAUAGUACAAC